GGUCUCAGGGAUUAUCUCAUGGAAUCCUCCAAUGCUCCCUAAGAAAAGGGCAUUGUGACCUUGGACUGCACAGGCUUGACUCCUAAGCCACCCCUUGGCUGCCUGUGUCCCAGGCGCAUGCAGCACUCUGCAGUCAAGGGUCAUGCUGUACUCCCCCCCCCGCUCCCCUCUCCCCCUCCCCACUUCCCCAGCCUCAUCUUUAGCCUCUGUCCUACUUCUGUUUUUGCCUCUGCCUAACACUACCUGGCACAUAUAAAUGUUGAAUGACUGGAAGGACUUCACAAGAGACCCCACAUUAUUCAGAAGACAUUGUCGCUGCUGUUGUGGCAGGGAAGAGACGAGCUAUAUGAAACAGGACAAAGUCAGCAGAGAAGCCACUGAUGGCCUGACAACAGCCGGGUGUGGGAGGAGGAAGAGGGAUGGGUGGGCAGGGACAGCAUGUGAGAAUCGCAGGUAAUGCAUGGAUUUAUUGCCAGCCUACCAGGUGGAAGGAGAGCGGCUGUGUCAGAGUUAGGCCAGGAGGCUUGGGCCAGCCCCAGCCCUGGAGUGUCCGUGGAAGCGUCUAGAGGCAAGGCAGGCGUGAGUGCUGGGGACUUGCUUUCUUGUCCACUCACAUUCUGAGUUGCAGCCAUUCAUCCAGGUGACAAGACUCUAAGGCAGCCUAUGGCAAAACCUUGCUGAAGAAGGUGGCUUCACCCUGAACUGUGCAGAGAUGCUUGGAGGUGGCCUGAUGCAGAGGGAUGCCUGCUUGUGUCACCUCAUCCUGCCCCUUCUUUGUAGUGAGGUAAAAAAUGCAGUUCUCAGAGGUCCAGUUCACCGGCUCAACGGCCACCGGGAGACUUCCGGAAGCCCAUGCCGAGUGAAGGGAGUGGAGUUGAAUUUGACUUGGCAGAUUUCGCCUAUCUUCUCUUCUCACACACAGAGGAGGGAGCUGCAAAAUUUAUAAAGUCGAAGCAAGCUGAGAAACUACAUUUGGCUCUCUCUUGACCUUCCCCUCAGCCAAGCUGCGUGACGGUGCUGCCUUCUAGGCCAGACAGGACCAUCUAAGAUCCGAAGGCAUUUUUAAAAUCUCUUGCCUGGAAGAAGGACAAGCAGAUGAUACAUGGAGUACCACAAAUGAUCACAGGCAAAAUUAAAGUGUGCCCAGAGAAGCUGUGGAGAUAGAGCCGUGGGUUAAGUGCUGGCCAGGUGAGAGAAGCCAAGGACCCAGCAGCUUCACGCCUGGCAUGCCCUUUUCCUGGCACAAGGCAGCUUCUCCUUAUUCUGCAGUGAUAUCAGGAGUCAGAAUCACCGUCCAUUCUGAUCACAGCAGCACAUAAUCUGAUGGAAGGAGCUGGCAGGCAACAAGACAGCUGGGCUGCAAUGAAUGAGACAGGCUGUGGCUUCAAGGUGAGCCUGUGUCAUGCCUGGAGCCUACAGACUAUUUGAAGAUGUGCUGUCUCCUUAAGAGCAAAGGAGUGUGGUUUUUAUAAUGCAGGAAAUCACAAGGGGCUCCCAGAGGGAGGAGUGAAUGCUCCACUACUCCUUGGGUGGCCCCAGUAGUAAGCGAUGCCCUCUCCGCCCAAGCAAGGAUGCAUUUGGGUGAAUGAAACCUCUUCCUGUUCUCCCAGGCCCCUGGGGACCCUCCAAGUCACUUGUUACCAUGGUUAGAAUUCCUGGCAUUGUGUCUCCCUAUUCUUGUACAUCUUUGGGGAACAAAACAACCUCCGUUGUAUUUGUUGAAGGAUACCACAAAACCAUUUCCUGGGAACAUCUCUCAGCAGGUUCAGCUUUGGGUAUCUGAGGUUAACUUUGGCUGGGGGUGGUUCUCCCAGAGUCUGGAAAAGGCUUCCUAGAGGGAUUCUUUGGUGGGUUGGGAAGCAUGAAGAGAUGUUUCCUAGGCACAUCGUAGACACCAGGAGUAUCCCUCGCAAAGCUAACAAUAGAUAUGGAAGAGAACAGACACAGAGGUGGAAUUGUGAGAGAGGGGCUGGGAGCAGAAGAAGCUGAGAUGGAGACAGGCUUGCGUGUUAAUUGGCAUGGCCUCAGAAGCAAGACGCGGGAGGUCUUCAGUGGUUCAGGGAGGCUAAGACUUGCAUUAGGAGAAACAAGGCCUGCUCCGGAGGCCACAGCAUGCAGCUGCUGACAGCUUUAAUUUAGGCAGCUGGUGAGGGGUACCUCUUCACAUUCUGCCCACAUUCAUAAUUGUAUUGAUAUUCCAUGCACAGAUGAGUGUUCAUUCUUGUUUGUUUUUUCUUUUAUUUUUCACACUAGCAAAAAAUCUACAUGAUAGACUCUUUAAGAGAAAAUUAGACACGCUGUAGAAAGCACAGUAAAAGAGAUGUUUGAGUGAUCUAGGCCCCCAUCCUUCAGAGGUAAAUAGUGGUUGUUUCUGGAGUCCACUUUUAUCAUACAUCUAGAUUCUAAACAACAAAUGAGAUUAGAAACUAUAGGUCAUUUUAAAACCUCCCCCCCCAUCAAUACGAUCAGAAACUUUUCAUCACACCCCUACGAUCAGAAGCUUUUCAUCACACUCCUACUAUCAGAAAUUUUGGUCACACCCCUGCGAUCAGAAACUUUUCGUCACACUCCUACAUCCUUGGCCGUGGUCCUACUUUGAAUGACUAUGUGGUAGGCCUUUGUUAAAACAGAGGGGACAUGCAUUUGUCCAGGUGGCUAUUUUUAGACCUUCAGCUUACAGGAAUGCCUGCCAUCUCUGCCUCUCCCGCCUCUCCCUCCUCUCCUGCCUCUACCGCCUCUCCUGCCUCUCCCACCUCAUCCAAAUCAAUCCCCUGCUGGUGCCCAGACCAUAGAGAAGUCACCAUACUGCCUCUUGUCCACAGCUAUUUUGUGUUCUGUUCUAUCCUAACUCUGCCCAUUGGUCAGUGAGGGGCUACAGACAAAAUUUGGAGUUUCUGAGACCUGUGCUACAUAUCCUAGAUGCUGAAGCAGUGGCCACAGCUUGGCUAGAGAGAAGGAAAACCCAUCGACGUACGAGUGUUCCUUCCUCUCCACGAGCUCCUUCCAACCAGAAGCAAGCCACCAGCUUGCAGUGGUAAACACGACUUGUUGGCAGCCUGGCCUGAGACAAGCCACUGACAUUGUAGAUAAAUGAGGACUAGUGAAGCUGUUCCCGUCUCCCAUCUGGGUAGCUGAGUUGGGUUUCCAUUUGUGCCUGCACCCCGAGGCCUUGGUGAAUGGGUCAUUGUUACACUGGCAAUCAGUUUGUGUGCUCCACUGAACUCACAUCCCUGGAGCUGGGAAAGACCACGUGUGCCCUGUGAGGGUACACUCUGAAGUUCUGGGGUCAAGAAACUCACUGCUUAAUGAAUGACUCAGAAAUCCAGCAUCUAUGUGAGCUGCAGGGAGAAGCCUUCAAAGGAGAUCCUAUAAGAAGAAUGUAGUAUGUUCAUCCGUUCUUUCAUGCAUUUUCCAUUCAUCUAUCUAUAUACCCAUCCUCUAGUACAUAUUUCCACAAAUCUACUGAUCUAUCAUUCAUCUAUCUGUCUACCAACCCAUUCUUUGGUCUACCUAUAUAUCCACCCACCCAUCUUUCUCUCCUCCAUCCACUCAUCCACCUUCCUGCUCACCUAUCUAUGUACCCACUUACUCAUCUAGUUCAUCUAGGUAUAUACCUAGUCAUCUACCCAGCCACCUGCCCAUUUAUCCACUAUGUACCCAUCUGACCUCUGCCUACCUUCCUACUCAUUUAUCCACCUGUCCACAUAUCAGCCCAUUCAUCUAUCUAUCCACCCCCUUCAUAUGUCUAUACCAUCUACCCACAUUCUCAUCUUCCAUCAUCCAUCCAUCCAUCCAUCCAUCCAUCCAUCCAUCCAUUUACUCAUCAAUCCACUCAUCUAUUUAUCUAUCUAUGCAUCCAUCCACCUACCCACAAAUCCAUCCACCCAUUUAUCCACCCACCUUCCUAUCUAUCUAUCUAUCUAUCUAUCUAUCUAUCUAUCUAUCUAUCUAUCUAUCUGUCUAUCUACCUAUCCACUCAACAAUCCAGUUAUCCAUUCAUCUACCUACUUAUCCAUCCAUCCAUCCAUCCAUCCAUCCAUCCAUCCAUCCAUUGAUUCAUCCAUAUACACAGACAUACACUUGUUCAUCUAGCCAUCUAGGUACUUAUGCAUUCAUUUAAUAGAUGUAUUUGGCACUUAUUAUAUGCAGACUAUCUUAGGCACUUAGGACACUCAGUGAAUAGCAGUGACAAAAAUCCUCGAUCGUGAAACUUAUCCCUAGCAAGGAGAAUCAGGCAACACACUGUGAAUGCAGUAAAUAAGUUACAUAGUAUUUAGAAGAUGUUAAGGGGCAAGGGCAAAAGCAGAGGAGGGAUGGAAGGCUGCAGGUUAGAGUAGAGGGAAUGCAAUGGUUAACUUCUGUAUACCAUGACUGGGUUUAGAGUCACUAUGGCAACGCACUCUGGGUGUUAUAUUAUGAAGAUGUUGGCAUGCUUAAUUGAAGUGGAAAGAUUCAUCCUGAUUGUGGCAGCCCUGCAGAUGCAGGUGGUAGUUCCUUGAUGAAUAAAAAAGAGAGAAGCC